UCCCUGGAGGACUAGUGGUUAGGCCUUCGGCGCUCUCACUGCCAUGGCCCGGGUUUGAUUCCUGGCCAGGGAA
rnacentral:tRNA from 1 species